AAGAUGAUAAUCCAUUAUGCAUCUCACCAAACAUAUUGUUGAUAUGCAACGGAAAUGCACGCUGGUUGAUGACUCAUUACCGUGUAAUCUGAGCGUGAUUAACGGCUAGGUUUGUCUUCGUACUCUCCGUGCUGUAGAGGAUCGUUACCUAGCUUGUGCUUGACCACGGUUAGGGUGGUUGCAUGGUUGUCUGACAGGU